UAGUAAAUAGAUCUGCCACAGUGGCGCU
rnacentral:sRNA from 1 species